UAGGGAAUCUUCCACAAUGGACGCAAGUCUGAUGGAGCAACGCCGCGUGAGUGAAGAAGGUUUUCGGAUCGUAAAGCUCUGUUGUUGGUGAAGAAGGAUAGAGGCAGUAACUGGUCUUUAUUUGACGGUAAUCAACCAGAAAGUCACGGCUAACUACGUGCCAGCAGCCGCGGUAAUACGUAGGUGGCAAGCGUUGUCCGGAUUUAUUGGGCGUAAAGCGAGCGCAGGCGGAAUGAUAAGUCUGAUGUGAAAGCCCACGGCUCAACCGUGGAACUGCAUCGGAAACUGUCUUUCUUGAGUGCAGAAGAGGAGAGUGGAAUUCCAUGUGUAGCGGUGGAAUGCGUAGAUAUAUGGAAGAACACCAGUGGCGAAGGCGGCUCUCUGGUCUGCAACUGACGCUGAGGCUCGAAAGCAUGGGUAGCGAACAGG
rnacentral:rRNA from 1 species